GAAAGCUGCAAGUUUUCCCAGUUGGCUAAAAACGUCCUGCCGUGACAGUUCCAGUGCGCCGAGCCAGAGCAAUAUCCUUCGAAAGGCUGUCGUGGCAACAUACACACUUUCACAUACACAUCCAGAACCAGAUCCAGAUCCAGCCGAUACCCCCGUGGAGUGGAGUGAAAAUUCAUUGACGAUUGGGGGGCGAAAAAGCUCUGGCCAAAAGCGAGUGAGAAAAGGGCAAACAGGAGCGAGAGCGAUAGCGAAAGCGAAAGCAAAAGCGCAACCCUCGACAACAAAAACAACGAAGCGAGUUCAGCUGCACCACCCACACCAUACCACCACUACAACCUCGUAACCACCGCCACAACCACAUACCGACCGUUGGGCCAAGUGCAUAGAGUAAUCAUCAUUAAAAUCAUCGUCGCACCGCCAGCCGAAUUCGUAGAGACAACCACCACGGGCUGCAACAGCACCACCUGAAGAAACCACUCAGAAAAAACCGAAAACACAACCCAACACAGAAAUGGCGGACGCUGCACCAGCUGGCGAUGCACCACCAAAUGCCGGAGCUCCGGCCGGAGAGGGCGGCGAUGGCGAGAUUGUGGGCGGGCCACACAAUCCCCAGCAGAUUGCGGCACAGAAGCGUCUCCAGCAGACACAGGCGCAGGUCGAUGAGGUGGUCGACAUCAUGCGCACAAAUGUGGAGAAGGUGCUGGAGCGCGACAGCAAGCUGUCGGAGCUGGACGAUCGUGCCGAUGCCUUGCAGCAAGGUGCCUCGCAGUUCGAGCAGCAGGCGGGCAAGCUCAAGAGGAAAUUCUGGCUCCAGAACUUGAAGAUGAUGAUCAUCAUGGGCGUGAUUGGACUGGUUGUCGUGGGUAUCAUUGCAAAACCAUAUAUGUCGGAUGAUAAUGCUGCUCCGCAGCCUAAUGCCGUGCCACAGCAGGUGGCUCCGGCUCUGGCUCCGGCAUCUGCACCCGAAUCAGCUGCACCACCACCACUACAACCACAACAACUACAACAACACCACCAUACACUUAAAUCUGAACCACCGACACUCGAGAAACCAUUGGCCGAGAAAUUGACCGACAUCCCACAGAGUCCGUCGGAUGAAGUGGCGACUGGACAAUAGAACGCUUCCAAAAAAUUCCGAAUUCAGAAAAACACCAACUGAACAGCAACAACAAGAACAACAACUAAAACUAAUCAGCCAAGCAACCAUCGACUAACCACCUCCAAGCUGCAUCCAUAGAAACAUACUCUCGUAUAGUCUCAAAAUUAACCAAAAUUUUAGAAGAAAAGAUAACAUUUCACACUCUCUUAGUACUUUGUACCAUUGAAAUACGACCUUAUUCGACAUACACUAUAAACUCGGCCUCAUAGGCGGGGAGCAGCCGCCCCAGUACCAGUAUCCCCCGCAGUACAUGCAGCCACCGCCGCCGCCGCC
rnacentral:misc_RNA from 1 species